ACUGGACUUGGUGUCAGAUGG
rnacentral:miRNA from 1 species